rfam:Triticum aestivum genome assembly, contig: Triticum_aestivum_CS42_TGACv1_scaffold_250749_3DL
AUAAUACUCCCUCCGUCCGAAAAUACUUGUCAUCAAAAUGGAUAAAAAAGGUUGUAUAUAGAACUAAAAUAUGUCUAGAUACAUCUCCUUUUAUCCAUUUUGAUGACAAGUAUUUCCGGAUGAAGAGAGUAUAAG